CCUACGGGAGGCAGCAGUGAGGAAUAUUGGUCAAUGGCCGCAAGGCUGAACCAGCCAAGUCGCGUGAAGGAUGACUGCCCUAUGGUUUGUAAACUUCUUUUAUAUGGGAAUAAAGGUAUCCACGUGUGGAUAUUUGUAUGUACCCUAUGAAUAAGCAUCGGCUAACUCCGUGCCAGCAGCCGCGGUAAUACGGAGGAUCCGAGCGUUAUCCGGAUUUAUUGGGUUUAAAGGGUGCGUAGGUGGUUUGUUAAGUCAGCGGUGAAAGUUUGUGGCUCAACCGUAAAAUUGCCGUUGAAACUGGAAGUCUUGAGUAUAUUUGAGGUAGGCGGAAUUCGUGGUGUAGCGGUUAAAUGCAUAGAUAUCACGAAGAACUCCGAUUGCGAAGGCAGCUUACUAAACUGUAACUGACACUGAGGCACGAAAGCGUGGGUAUCAAACAGGAUUAGAUACCCGGGUAGUC
rnacentral:rRNA from 1 species